GAUGGAAUGGCUGAAUUUAGGCAAUAAACUGUAAAUUUAUUUAUGAAAAAUUUCUUCUAUCA
rnacentral:tRNA from 1 species